rnacentral:lncRNA from 1 species
AAUGGGUUUUAUUAGCACGUUACACAGCAGAGUGAACCCAUCACUGGGCUCGAGCUGUGUUUUGAUGAGUGUGAUGCAGAACACAAGCACGCAGGCAUCUUGGCAUCCAGGCUCAUCAGGUAGCUCGAGUUCUUUUGUUCCUUGGUGUGGCAGUGCAAGGACAAUUCCAAACAUUUAUCGAGUGCCGACUUUGUCCAGGGCCUGCCAUGAAGUCGAAGUCAUGGGUCGCAAGGGAUAAAAGACACAGUUGGGAGAUGAAGCCCUCAGUUACAACAGGGCACCGACCAUCCUGGGGCAGGCACAGAGGGGUGGCCCCUCACUUAGAGCAGGAGUCCAGGGAGAACCUUCUAGAAGUGACGAGGGAGUGGGGAGGUUCACAUUUGCUAGAAUUUGAAACAGAAAAGUCUCUCCUUUUUCUCCUAGUUUCACGUGGCUUCAUCCAGUCUUUAGUGAGUGUUGGAGUCAGAGAUGGUACGACAGUUCACUGGAUGACAACUCGGCUAGGCCAUGGGAACCACUGUGCCCGGCUGCUCUGUCAAAAACUAGUCCAGUUGUUGCUGUGAGAUUAAAGUGCUGUUGUUCGCUAUAGAAAAGAAAAUGCACGGGAGAACUAAGAAACCAAUGUCAAUAUUAGGAGCUUAAAGACCUUGUAAGUAAACAAGAGGGUUGAUCUUCCUUUGGUGUGUUUGCUUUGAGUUGUUCACUCUGAACUUUUGCUGCUUUGGUGUUGGCUGGGGGAUAUAUUUGUGGCUUUCUUAAAAACAGACUAUAGGGCUGGGGAUUUAGCUCAGUGGUUCUGCCACCUGCCUCGAAAGUGCAAGGACCUGAGUUUGAUCCCCAGUACCAAAAAAAAAAAAAGACUAUGAAAGUGGCUCUAAGUUCAAAAUGUACUAUUUUUUGGAGUAGGGCUGCUCACACAGUUGAGAUGUGUUUUCCCUAGAAAACAAGAAUAAGCACAGUGAGGGGUAAGAACCUGGGUGUUAUGGGGGUGCUGAGCACCCCAUUGCGAUCUAGGUGGAGCAUCCGUGCUUCCUUCUGGACCAAACCCAGGACCGGUUCACACCUGCUGCUGUGGGCUGCAUAGCACCUUCGAGCAUCUCAUUCUGGGAAGAUACAGCUCAGGCAAAACCGACUGCUGGAUAUAUUGGUGUCACUAGGCCAGAAUCCUUACCGAGCAAACAGUAUCGUAAAACAAACAGGUGCUUCUGGUUUGUUUAGUGUGUGUGUGUGUGUGUGUGCCUGUGUGUGUGUGUGUUGGUGCCAGGGAUUGAAUAGUGUAUUUUUUACAGUGUAAUCACCCGUCUCUAACAAAAUGCAGCUGAGUCACAGGCUGUUUGUGGAGGCUGUGGGAGCCAACACUGGGUGCUGGGUUUCCUCUGCCUUUUAAAGUUUUGCCCUUUAGAAGUUUCCCCAGCCCCUUGGAAGGAAGGGACGGAUGUGCCUGCAUCUUUUGCGCUGAGCUACCCGGUAAGAGCCUGGCCCUUGACCCCGGCUGCUUUGAGCAGCCUGGGGAAAGAGUGCCCUCUUGUGGACGGCCCACUACUUGCAAAUUCAGGAACCAUUGCUCAGGUUCUCAGAGCGGGGUCAGUAUUUGAACCGUCUUUGUAGAGAACACAAAAGGGCUACUUUUAUGUUAGAAGAUAGAGCAGCUUGCUUGGGAUUUACAAAGUGAUUUGAAGAGACCAGGGAAUCUAUUACAUUAAUAGUUUUUCUUACAAAGAUAUGACCUCCCUCUCUAGCCAAAAUUUCCCUUUUCAAAUCUAAUAAUGCCUGGGAAUAUAUGUGUGAGUCCAUGGGUUCAAUCCCAGCACUAAAAAAAAAAAAAAGUCUCAAAACCUUUAAGUUUAUAUGACUUUAAAUGUCUUGCUUUUUGAAAAUAGAAACAAGAUGAAUAGCAGGGAUAUGUAGGACAUUAGGACAUUUAUGUUCAGUAAAGAUAGCUGAAUCUUUAAAAAUCAUUAUAAGAAGAUAAAUUAUUUUUGUAAAUUUCAAAUUGAAGUGUUGUGUUGUAUAUUAGUAAUGUGUCACAAGUGCUUUGAGCAAUAUCCUCUACUUCCCUAAUGUACUGUUUAUCAAAGGUGCAGAAAAAUAGAUCAUCCACAACAAUCUCUCCAGAAUUAAUAUUGCACAGUAAAUAUUGCAUAUUUUCUUUUUUACACUCAGAGGAGGUGACAAUGGAAUCUCCACAACUUUGCUAUUUGCUUAGCCUGUUGUGGGAGUACUGUUUGUGGAUCAUCAUUAAUGGGGAUUAAACGAGAUACUAUGUGAGAGAUGCUGAGCACAGUGACUUCCAUUUUGUAAUGUGAUUCAAUAAAUCUUAGCUGCCACUAUAUCAAAAUCACUUUCUAUCUCUUUCUGUUCCUCUCUUUUUUUUGGCUUAUGUUAUGAAAUAAAACACAUAGAAC